rnacentral:rRNA from 1 species
UACGUAGGGGGCAAGCGUUGUCCGGAUUUAUUGGGCGUAAAGAGCGUGUAGGCGGCCAGACAGAUCAGCUGUGAAAACUCGAGGCUCAACCUCGAGACGUCGGUUGAAACCGUCUGGCUAGAGUCCGGAAGAGGAGAGUGGAAUUCCCGGUGUAGCGGUGAAAAUGCGCAGAUAUCGGGAAGAACACCCGUGGCGAAGGCGGCUCUCUGGGACGGUACUGGACGCUGAGACGCGAAAGCGUGGGGAGCG